GUCCACGCCCUAAACGAUGCAUAUUUGGUGUGGGCAGUUCAUUCUGUCCGUGCCGGAGCUAACGCGUUAAAUAUGCCGCCUGGGGAGUACAGUCGCAAGGCUUAAACUCAAAGUAAUUGACGGGGGCCCGCACAAGCGGUGGAGCAUGUGGUUCAAUUCGACGCAACGCGAAGAACCUUACCUGGGCUCGAACGGCUGGUCAACGGAGGUGGAAACAUCUUUACCCCGCAAGGGGGUCCAGUCGAGGUGCUGCAUGGCUGUCGU
rnacentral:rRNA from 1 species